rnacentral:rRNA from 1 species
UUGGGCGUAAGAGUUCGUAGGCGGUUAUCUAAGUCUGGUGUUAAAGCCCGAAGCUCAACUUCGGCAUGGCAUUGGAAACUGGGUGGCUAGAGUGUGGUAGAGGUCUCGGGAAUUCCUGGUGUAGCGGUGAAAUGCGUAGAUAUCAGGAGGAACACCGGUGGCGAAAGCGCGAGACUGGGCCAUAACUGACGCUGAGGAACGAAAGCCAGGGGAGCGAAAGGGAUUAGAUACCCCUGUAGUCCUGGCCGUAAACGAUGGAUACUAGGUGUUGGAGGAUUCGACCCCUUCAGUGCCGUAGCUAACGCGAUAAGUAUCCCGCCUGGGGAGUACGACCGCAAGGUUGAAACUCAAAGGAAUUGACGGGGGCCCGCACAAGCGGUGGAACAUGUGGUUUAAUUCGAUGCAACGCGAAGAACCUUACCUGGGCUUGACAUCUUUGGAACCUUGCGGAAACGUGAGGGUGCCUUCGGGAGCCAAAAGACAGGUGGUGCACGGUUGUCGUCAGCUCGUGUCGUGAGAUGUUGGGUUAAGUCCCGCAACGAGCGCAACCCUCGUGGUCUGUUGUUACAGGUCGUAAGAUGCUGAACCCUCAGGCCAGACUGCCGGUGACAAACCGGAGGAAGGUGGGGAUGACGUCAAAUCAUCACGCCCCUUAUGUCCAGGGCUACACACGUGUUACAAUGGGUAGUGGACAAUGGGUAGCUUGGCAGCGAUGUCCGGCAAAUCCCCUAAACCACCCCUCAGUUCGGAUCGUAGUCUGCAACUCGACUACGUGAAGUCGGAAUCGCUAGUAAACGCAGAUCAGCACGCUGCGUUGAAUACGUUCCCGGGCCUUGUACACACCGCCCGUCACACCACGAAAGAGGGUUAUACCCGAAGUCGGUGUCCCAACCGUAAGGAGGGAGCCGC